ACGGAGGGAGCUAGCGUUGUUCGGAAUUACUGGGCGUAAAGCGCACGUAGGCGGCUUUGUAAGUCAGAGGUGAAAGCCUGGAGCUCAACUCCAGAACUGCCUUUGAGACUGCAUCGCUUGAAUCCAGGAGAGGUGAGUGGAAUUCCGAGUGUAGCGGUGAUUGGAGUGGAUAUUCGGAAGAGGAGCGGUGGCGAAGGCGGCGCACUGGACUGGUACCCACGCUGAUGUUCUUAAGCGUGUCUCACAAAAAG
rnacentral:rRNA from 1 species